rnacentral:rRNA from 1 species
CCUCACUUCGGUGCAGCAGGAGCGGGUAUACGGGGGAGGCAAGAGGUAGCCAGAAUGACGUGGCGUAAAGAGUAGAGUAUGUGGCAUAGUAGUGGGGUAGUGAAAGCGUGGGGCUCAACCAUACUACCAUUAUCCGAACUGCUAAGCUAGAGGGCGAGAGAGGGGACUUGAAUUCCCAGUGUAGGAGUGAAAUCCGCAGAUAUAGGGAGGAACACCGAUGGCGUAGGCAGGUAACUGGCUCGUCACUGACACUAAGGCACGAAAGCGUGGGGAGCAAACGGGAUUAGAUACCCUGGUAGUC